UGGGGACGUCUAGGGAGACCGCCGGGGACGACUCGGAGGAAGGUGGGGACGACGUCAAAUCAUCAUGCCCCUUAUGUCUUGGGCUACACACGUGCUACAAUGGCCGCAACAGAGGGAAGCGAGAGCGCAAGCUGGAGCAAAACCCUAAAAAGCGGCCCCAGUUCGGAUUGUGGGCUGCAACCCGCCCACAUGAAGUCGGAGUUGCUAGUAAUCGCGAAUCAGCAUGUCGCGGUGAAUGCGUUCCCGGGCCUU
rnacentral:rRNA from 1 species